rnacentral:rRNA from 1 species
CAGCCGCCGCGGGAAUACGGAGGGGGCUAGCGUUGUUCGGAAUUACCGGGCGUAAAGCGCACGUAGGCGGCUUGGUAAGUUAGAGGUGAAAGCCUGGAGCUCAACUCCAGAAUUGCCUUUAAGACUGCCGAGCUAGCAGGUGAGAGAGGUAAGUGGAAUUCCGAGUGUAGAGGUGAAAUUCGUAGAUAUUCGGAAGAACACCAGUGGCGAAGGCGGCUUACUGGCUCAUACUGGACGCUGAGGUGCGAGAGCGUGGGGAGCAAACAGGAUUAGAUACCCCAGUAGUCCCUGUCUCUUAUAC